rnacentral:rRNA from 1 species
CAGUAGCCACGGGAAUACGAAGGGGGCUAGCGUUGCUCGGAAUUACUGGGCGUAAAGGGAGCGUAGGCGGGUCGUUUAGUCAGAGGUGAAAUCCCGGGGCUCAACCUCGGAACUGCCUUUGAUACUGGCGACCUUGAGUAUGGGAGAGGUAAGUGGAACUCCGAGUGUAGAGGUGAAAUUCGUAGAUAUUCGGAAGAACACCAGUGGCGAAGGCGACUUACUGGCCCAUUACUGACGCUGAGGAGCGAAAGCGUGGGGAGCGAACAGGAUUAGAGACCCCUGUAGUCCCUGUCUCUUAUAA